UUUGGAGGGCAAGUCUGGUGCCAGCAGCCGCGGUAAUUCCAGCUCCAAUAGCGUAUAUUAAAGUUGUUGCAGUUAAAAAGCUCGUAGUUGAACCUCGGGGUCUACCCAUUGGUCAGGCUUAAUUGUCUGCACUGGUGAGAUGGAUCUCUACCUUCUGAGGAACUUUCAUGCCAUUUAUUUGGUGUGAUGGGAAAUCAGGACUGUUACUUUGAAAAAAUUAGAGUGUUUAAAGCAGACUAUCGUCUGAAUACAUUAGCAUGGAAUAAUGAAAUAGGACGGACUGAUUCUAUUUCGUUGGUUUCUAGGAUCACCGUAAUGAUUAAUAGGGAUAGUUGGGGGCAUUAGUAUUCAAUUGUCAGAGGUGAAAUUCUUGGAUUUAUUGAAGACUAACUACUGCGAAAGCAUUUGCCAAGGAUGUUUUCAUUAAUCAAGAACGAAAGUUAGGGGAUCGAAGACGAUCAGAUACCGUCGUAGUCUUAACCAUAAACUAUGCCGACUAGGGAUCGAACGAAGUUAAUUUUAUAAUGACGCGUUCGGCGCCUUACGGGAAAA
rnacentral:rRNA from 1 species